GGUGGAGCCAGGAUCCACCCUCCAAGGCCUCAUUUAAAGGUUGGUAAUGGAAGCGAGGACACCUUGUUGGAGAUUUUUGCCUACCAUAGGCUUUCUGAAGACCCCCCUGUGGAAAACAAGCUGCCAUUCUGUUCAUCACCAGGAAAAACGCGUCAGGCACCUGCCACCAUCACCUUGAUCUUAGCAUGCAACACCAAAUAACAGAUUGCUUCAGGGAUCAUUUUUCUCCCUUUUCGUGUUCCCCAAGAUGAAUAACAUCAGCAGCAAGGGAACAAGGCUCAAGAGCAAAAACAAACAGCACAUCCUUUUUUUUGUGGUAAGCAAGGAUUUAUUGUUUUAAGUCAGAGACAGACAGGUAUCCACUUCACCACAAAAACUCAAGCUAGCAAAGCCCAGCCAUUUCAUUUUAGCACAGAUAUUCUUAGGCAUCCUGGUUCCUGCACAAAAUGCAGAGCAUUCACACCUGCAGUAUAAACAAUCUUUUCAAAAAGCCUUCACAAGCCAAUUCUUUUACAAAAGGGAUGUAUCAUCACCCGCUUCCCAUCUUGCAGAAGCAAGCCUAGUUACCAGGCAUGGUAACUUGGGGGCAUACGUUAAAACCAGAACAAUUCUCUCUCUUAGGUAUCUCCUCUCUUCUUGCUGAAGUGAAACUAAGACAAUAGGUUUCUCAAAGAGAGAGACCUAGCUUUUCACUAUGUAAGUUUAGACAAUUAAGUCUUUAAGUUGUCUGCCCCGUGAUUCAAUUGGGCACACUCUCCAGGAGGCAUCCUCUUAAAUACUAAGACCUUACCCACACAAAGUGAGUUUUCUUCUUUUAUUUAUAUGAAGGUAAGCAAGUCAGCCUCAGAGAGCUCCCCCAAAAGGAGCUUUCAACAGCACUUUGUUUUCCCCCACGAGGAGAUGGCAAAAAAGGUCACAGAGCAGCAACUUUCCUCCUUCCUAACCACCUCAGUCUAUUUAGCUUGUUGAUAUUGUAAACCACUUACAGCACACGCAGGACACACACAGAGACAUACCGCAGGAGCACUUCACCUCCAGCUCUUAUCUAAACCCUUUUAAAAGGGAAAUCCCCCACACACACCUCCAGGGGUAUAAGAUUUCUACAGAGCAAGCAUCCUCUUGCAUUAAAGAGCUUCAAAUAGGUUUUACCUGAGGACUGAAGUAAACUGAGUUUUCUCCCUCAGCACGAGGCAGAACCCAUCUCCUGCCAGCUCUAUCACCUACCUUCAGGACCAGGAGCAUCACCACACAGGAGCCACUCCAGGAUCCAGAGAAGAGACCCCUUUACCAGGGAGGUCUCUCCCCCCACUCAGGGGGAGCCCCAGACAGGCCAGAGGGGCUCCCCCAUACUUCCCCCCCCACUCAGGGGGAGCCCCAGACAGGCCAGAGGGGGCUCUCCCACCAGGCAGGAGGGCCCCCCUCAGCCCCUCCCAGGGCUGCCACACUCCAACCACAGAAUAAAAUCCGUUACUGACCAGCACCCACCCUCCCACCCAAAAAAAAAAUAAUCUCUCUGAGAUAGUGCAAAACCCAGCCAACAGCCCCAUUCCUAGGGGGGAAGAGCACAGCCCACAAGUGUGCAGGCUGUGCUCUUCCCCCCUAGAUGAACACUCUAAACCAGGUAACCACACAAAAGCCACUACCUCUACAAACA